UACGUAGGGUCCGAGCGUUGUCCGGAAUUACUGGGCGUAAAGAGCUCGUAGGUGGUUUGUCGCGUUGUUCGUGAAACUCACAGCUCAACUGUGGGCGUGCGGGCGAUACGGGCAGACUGGAGUACUGCAGGGGAGACUGGAAUUCCUGGUGUAGCGGUGAAAUGCGCAGAUAUCAGGAGGAACACCGGUGGCGAAGGCGGGUCUCUGGGCCGAUACUGACGCUGGAGGAGCGAAAGCGUCGGGGAGCGAACAGG
rnacentral:rRNA from 1 species